rnacentral:rRNA from 1 species
GGCUCAGGACGAACGCUGGCGGCGUGCUUAACACAUGCAAGUCGAACGAUGAAGCACCAGCUUGCUGGUGUGGAUUAGUGGCGAACGGGUGAGUAACACGUGAGUAACCUGCCCCUCACUCUGGGAUAAGCCUGGGAAACUGGGUCUAAUACUGGAUAUGACCGAUCUCCGCAUGGAGUGUUGGUGGAAAGUUUUUGUGGUGGGGGAUGGACUCGCGGCCUAUCAGCUUGUUGGUGGGGUAAUGGCCUACCAAGGCGACGACGGGUAGCCGGCCUGAGAGGGCGACCGGCCACACUGGGACUGAGACACGGCCCAGACUCCUACGGGAGGCAGCAGUGGGGAAUAUUGCACAAUGGGCGAAAGCCUGAUGCAGCGACGCCGCGUGAGGGAUGACGGCCUUCGGGUUGUAAACCUCUUUCACCAGGGACGAAGCUAACGUGACGGUACCUGGAGAAGAAGCACCGGCUAACUACGUGCCAGCAGCCGCGGUAAUACGUAGGGUGCGAGCGUUGUCCGGAAUUAUUGGGCGUAAAGAGCUCGUAGGCGGUUUGUCGCGUCUGCUGUGAAAGCCCGGGGCUCAACCCCGGGUCUGCAGUGGGUACGGGCAGACUAGAGUGCAGUAGGGGAGACUGGAAUUCCUGGUGUAGCGGUGAAAUGCGCAGAUAUCAGGAGGAACACCGAUGGCGAAGGCAGGUCUCUGGGCUGUUACUGACGCUGAGGAGCGAAAGCAUGGGGAGCGAACAGGAUUAGAUACCCUGGUAGUCCAUGCCGUAAACGUUGGGCACUAGGUGUGGGGGACAUUCCACGUUUUCCGCGCCGUAGCUAACGCAUUAAGUGCCCCGCCUGGGGAGUACGGCCGCAAGGCUAAAACUCAAAGGAAUUGACGGGGGCCCGCACAAGCGGCGGAGCAUGCGGAUUAAUUCGAUGCAACGCGAAGAACCUUACCAAGGCUUGACAUUCACCGGACCGCCCCAGAGAUGGGGUUUCCCUUCGGGGCUGGUGGACAGGUGGUGCAUGGUUGUCGUCAGCUCGUGUCGUGAGAUGUUGGGUUAAGUCCCGCAACGAGCGCAACCCUCGUUCUAUGUUGCCAGCACGUGAUGGUGGGGACUCAUAGGAGACUGCCGGGGUCAACUCGGAGGAAGGUGGGGAUGACGUCAAAUCAUCAUGCCCCUUAUGUCUUGGGCUUCACGCAUGCUACAAUGGCCGGUACAAAGGGUUGCGAUACUGUGAGGUGGAGCUAAUCCCAAAAAGCCGGUCUCAGUUCGGAUUGAGGUCUGCAACUCGACCUCAUGAAGUCGGAGUCGCUAGUAAUCGCAGAUCA